ensembl:snRNA U4 U4 spliceosomal RNA
AGCUUUGUGCAGAGGCAGUAUCAUAGCCAGUGAGGUUUAGCCACGUUGUGAUUAUUGCUAAUUGAAAACUUUUCCCCAUAGCUCACCAUGACGACUUGUAAUACAGCAAGCAUUAAAAAUAAA